GUGCUCGCUUCGGCAGCACAUAUGCUAAAAUUGGAACAAGACAGAGAAGAUUAGCAAGGCCCCUUCUCGCGGAUGACAUGCCAAUUCGUAAAGUGUUCCAUAUUUUG
ensembl:snRNA U6 U6 spliceosomal RNA